UAAGCAUGAGCAUCAUGUAUAAUAUGAGCAUGUUACUGUUAGAAUAUGACAGUGUGACCCACUAAGUACAGGUAUGCAAAAUGUUGAUGCAUCUUUUACUUUCUCAUUUACAGAGUAGAUAGACAAAAUGAUUUUUUUUUUUUACUUAUAUGUAUUUGAUUAGUUGUUUUGAAGAAUCAUUUGAUAAUAUAAAAAUGAACUUAGUAUAAAGACAUACAAAUGUAUUUUUAAUUUAAAGAUAUCCUUAGUUUAUUCCCUCCUCCUCAUUUAUCUAUAUUAUAUUUAUACAUAUCUUUCAACAUAAAGCAUUUUCUACUUUGCAUGAAGCAGGUCAAGUCAUUCUAUAGAAUGUUUUUUUAAAAUUUGAUUUAUCACUAGGUACUUACCUACUCUUAUGUACACUAUAGCAAGGUCAUCUCAAUAGAAAAUGAAAAAUGACUUACAACAUAGGGUCUUCAACAAUCUAGGCAAAAUUUUGGCUUAAAAAAUCUUAAUACUUUAACAAUGUGAAACUGUAAAUACAGUAACAAUGUAAAACAAUAAACACAGUAAGUCACUUUAACUUGCGUGAUAGUUUGAUUCAUGUUUUAUUAAGGGUCUUACCAUUCAAAACAUAUUCAAGUACCCCCUGCCACAUUUUGAAUACUCAUAUAGUAGUUCAUACAAUAAAAUUGAUUUAACCGACAUAUUUCAUCAAACAAACACAUUAAAUUUUUAAAAUAUAACAAUGUUUUCAAAAGCUCUUACUUGAAAUCGAUAAAUGCCAUUCAUGAAAUCCCUUCACCCAGCAAAUGCAGACAAUUCUUCAAACAAAAAACCUUAUCAGCCAAGUAAAAAUUUCUACGAUAAUAGUUUAUUACAAGUGAAAUUCACUUCAAUCAGACAAAAAUAGAAAACAAAGAAAAACAAAAUAAGUUCCAAAACCUGUCAAAGCUAAAGAGAAAUGAUCAUCUCACAGCUGAUGUGUGUGAUACAACAUUGCUAAGUACUAAAAAUGGAAUAGAAAUAAAGUAUAAAUAAAGUUUUUUGGCAAACCAUUACAUUCUAAACUGACACUGAAACAGAGAACCACCUAAAUGGAUCAAAUAAAACAAGGAGAAUAAAAGUAAAGUUAAAAGAACUUUCAACCAAUCAAAAAAAUUAUAUUCUUAACCUGUACUGGGAACAAAAAGACUCUGAGUAUCAACCCUGAAAAAAGGGAACUGUAAAACUAAAGCCAAAAGAAAAUUUCACUCAAUAAAAGUGCCAAUGAGAUUUAACAUUAAUGAUACUUUUUUUUGGACUAGAAACUGCAACUUUGCCUAUA